CUAUUAAAAGGUCUUCCACCCAUUGCUCCCCUUGCCUCCGUAUUUGUGGAGCCAAAUGGGUAAGGAGCACAGUGGGAGAGUGCCUCCAUCUCCUUCCAUCAGUUGCCACCACACUUUCAUCGAUGGCGGUCCUUGGGUUACCACUGUAUGCACCAAUUCCAAUAAUCGUUAGUUUUCUUACACUCGUCGCGUCCCCGUUCUUCCUUGAUCUGAAUUCCUAGCUCUACUCCUUGUAUCCAAACGGUUGUAAUCCAUCGUGGAAAUUAAUGAUUGGCUUGUGUCCUUGUGCAGCUGCGUUGCUGCGUCCCUCCAACCAGGUCCAGCAACGCCUUCUCAAAACUAUAUACUUCGUGGAUUUGUAGGAUACCUUCCCAAAGUUCCUAGAGAGACAACCUUCGGGUGCAAUAUAGCCUCACGGUGCCUCUAGCAGCCGUCAUGGAUACACACUUUGUUCCUUUGAAACACAAUUUUGGCUAGGCCAAAAUCAGAUAUCUUGGGGUUGAACUUGUUGUCCAACAAGAAUGUUAUGAGGUUUAAUAUCAAAGUGAACAUCCGUGAUCGUCAGCCUACGUGAAGGUAUUCAAUUCCUUUGGCUAUGCCAAGAGCAAUAUCUUUCAGCUUCUCCGCAACCAAGGAACGCCUUUCUUGGUGGCAGAAGAUAUGAAUUUUCGAGUGGAUUUGUUUUGGGUAGAACUCAUAAAGUAGAGCUCUUCGAAAGUCCAUUUGCACAGUAUCCUCCAAGCGAACCAACAAUUGAUAUGGUGGAAUUCUACCCAUUGUUCCCACUUCAUUGAGGAACUCAAUCCCAUUUCCUUUUCACAGCUGUUGAGGAUCUUGACAGCAAAUGACAUCACUGGAAACUUUCCCUUGUACACUGUUCCAAAACCACCUCGCCUCUUUUUCUUUGAAACUGAUUCCGUAAGGUUUCUUGAAUAUCUGCAUAGAGUAUCUUGACGCUUGAAGAGCUUCGUAAUCCCCAAAAAUCUUGUAAUCCUUUUCACUUGAUCCUCUUUCUUUAUUUUGCUUGAUCUGUAGACAAGAUAUUUGCAACGACAGUUUGCUACAACAAAAAGAGACAGAACCAGCAUCCAAACUGGCAAUUCAAAAUUCAAAAUAUACCAAGUCAAGAAAUUUCUGCGUCUCUCCUCAACGAUAAUUGGAAUUAAGGGACGCUACAAAAGUCCACCUUCAACCUUAGUUUCCAGAUCAAUCUGUAAAAAAAGUUUUUAAGACUUGUUACACUACCGAGCUUGUGAAGUUCAUUACUUAUAGCCAACAAGAACGCUGCAAAUAGAGGAGCCUCAGAAGAGAUUCAAAUACUAAACAAGGAAGUUUUCAGUAUGCGGUGCAAGACAUAUAUGGGACUCGUUCUGAAGAUAGUCAAGAAGUAGUAAAACAGCCGAAGUACCGGGAGGUUGUAGGUUUGGGCUUUGUCAAAGCAUUCAGUUUUUCAUGUUUCCUGCGUUUGUUAUUCUUCAUCUACAUACUUGCCUCCUGCGCACAGUUCCCAAAGUCGGCUGGUCGCAAUUCAAUGGAAGAUACAAAAUCUCUGAUUGUCAAAUAUGUUCCAUUGAAGUGUCAUGUCAUACAUCUUCCUGCAAGGUAUUGGAGCGCACUGAAAUGAAGAUUGGGCAUAAACUUUGUCGCCAAGGCAAGCAGCUGAAUUCCAAAUAACCUCUUUUCUCCUGGGGGAGUUAGACUUGGGAACAAUUGAGGAAGCUAAUUCUUCGUAGUAGUGGUGGAUUGGGUUGUCGUAAUCUAUGUGAAUUGGAAGGGAGAGAUAACUGAGGUUUUUGUAAAGAGUUUUUGGCAAUCAGCCAUGGAGCUUGAGACGAUAAUCGUUUGAGAUUGGUAGUUGAUUUCAAUGAACAGAUACCUUGACGGAGAAUUGGAGCUCAAGCACAGGGUGUUUGCUUUUGAUCCAUUACAAGAAAUAUCAAUCCAGGAUAGCCACAGUGCUCGGGCUUGAUGCCCCCCCUUUUAAUCUCGGAAAGGGAAUGCGGUUGUUGGCCAUGGUUUCCUGCAUUGUGGGCAUGCACUUUCAUCCUCUUGUUCUGGUACUGCCAUAGCGGUGUUCCUGGCGAGGACAGGAGCAGGAGCAGGAAUUGGGAAGUAAGGCAUCUUUUUUGGUAAGUCUCUAGAGUUUCCGAUCAGAGAUAAUAUUAGCUCGAGGGUAUGUAAGUUCACAAUUUCCUUACUCUUUGGAGCACAAACAUAAUUUAGCUUAGCUGAAAUGAAAUACAUUCAAUUGAAAGGAGCUCUUGUAGUUUGGUCCAUGGCUUAUUGUCACGGUUCCUAGCCUAUCUUUGACUGACUUGGUCCCUACCUAUGUUGAUUGACCGACUUGGGCAAUAAUUUCCAGAUAAAAACGUUGUUAGCCACAUGUUUAGCGUUGUGGCAACCAUUCCACAAGUGGGUAGGGGUCAUGAUUUUGCUUCUUGCGUUUCUUCUAAAUUAUAUUCGUGAUUUCGUUCCUUUUGUUAAGCCGACUCCGUGGAAAGGUUUCAUUCUAAAGCUGCUCUUUGCCCUUGUUCUUGUGCUCUGUUCUGUAACUUGCCAUGGAACGCAAACAGCCACAUCUUCUUGCGGAGAUAUCCAUAACUCAGCUUCCCCUUUCGACCUUGAAAACCGACCCAGAUGUAUCUGUGAAUGGGGAUUUGAUCUUUCGUGCGAGAACAACCGUGCAGUACUGAACGUUAAACCUUGGAAAAUACUACGUGGCAGGCCAUCGACUACAACCGCCGCACAAUUCGCUCGUCGAUGUAGCAAUACGGGCGAAUGAUUGUUCCACUCCCUUCCUCUUCAUGUCCUAAUUGACGUUUUUUUAUUCAUUUGGAUAAACAUACAGCACUAGUAGUCUGAAUUGGCUGUGUUCGUGAGUUGUGAAAAUGGCAGUGAGUCUUCUCGCAAUACCUGCCUAGACCAUUCCCUGCUGCUUGUGAAAAUUCACACUGGUUCCUCCAACCUUUCUGCAAAGCAAUAUUCCUAUGUUCUGGUCGGAUACGUGAGGCCGGCAAUAUCCAAACUUGUGCAACGUGGACGUGAUUGGCUCCCGUUUCUGGUAUAAAUAAGCAGAACAUUUCCUUCUCGUCCAUCCACAAUGGGUUUGGGCUCAUGGAUUUUGAGCUACUUGGAAUUACAUGCUCAAAACUUGCAUUCGACAGCAAUGCUCGAGAGCCAAAAUCUCGCUGCCAAUUGCGCAAUUUUAUAUAUCGUUUCCUUUAGCCUCCAUGAUACUGUUUACAUUUCUGGGCGUAUUCAGACUUUCUGAUCCUAAAUGCUAAAUUAAACUUCACCUUGGAAUUUUGGACUUUAGGCCUAUAUUCUACUCCUCUCCUAAUUAGAUGGUACAAAGCUUGUGUCUCAUGUCUGUACCAUCAAGUCUUUUCUUGUGACUUAUUAAUUGUUCCUUGCUGUUGGUUAAUGGAAAGACGAAAGAAAUUUUUUUUUGGAUUAAAGUCGUCUAAGCGGAUUGUUCGUACUGAUCAAGUCUAACAUGAUCUCUGUUGCAAGUUGUGGAUAUCCAAUUGCAUUAUUAUUGCCUUCCAAGAUGCCUUCCUGGCCGGAUAGGGGAAAUGCUAAUUAAAGCUUAUUUUGCAUUUAGUUGAUCUUCAUUACUGGGUUUUGUUUUGUUGUUUUUUUACUGGUCUAGCGCACAGUUGACUCUUACUUUUAUUUAUGUUGUAGGAUUGAGUUUUUCUCGUAACCGGAAAAAAAAUUAGUAAGACUCCAAUCUUAAUUUGUGGUAGUUGAUAUUCAUCUUUCUCUUACUGUUUUAUUUUAUUUCCUAGAUUAAAUCAAUUACAAAGCUGAAUCUUACUAUCGUUUGGUAGUUUUUUGUUUUACAUGACCCUUUGGCAUUGGUGAAUGGACCUCUCUUUUUAAUUUCCUCUGCUUCAUAAAUAAACCAAUCAUGAAAAAAAAUAAUCUGGAAUAGGACACCGAAGGGCCAAAGAAUGCAUCGUUCUAAAUGAAUCUUUCCUUGCACGAACCAAUUUAUUUUGCCAUUUAGUGAUGAUGGCUGGACAAAGAAUUUUUUUCUUGAAAUUGGGAGGUGUGUUUGUAUCUGACUCCCUUACGUAGGCUAGUCACGAGUUAAGUCCUAGGGGGGGUGGGCAUGAAUUUGGGUUGUUGGAUUAGAGGAUCGGAAGAAUAGGAGUUGAAAUCAAUCACAAACCCGAGUAACGCCUGGGUGGUUCUGAAUUGGUCUGUAGUUCCACCUAAAUUUGAGAAAACUUGUAAAUAUCAUUACAAAACCAAAACUUAGAAAAUAGUUUGUAGCGUGAUAUCGUUUGUGUUGUGCUCAAAGAAAUAAUUAUCACUACACCACCACACAAAAGACAACCAACCGAUUUACGUAGUUCGGCGAGGAGAGAAAUCACAAUCCAUUAUCAACGAAUGGAUUACAACGGAGGAGACGUUCGAUCGCUUACCUCACCCCUCUCUCACAAUCUCUCUUCUGUCUUGCAUCUCAAUAUAACCUCGACAGCAAUCUGCUCUCAGCCCUCAGCAAACACACAUAGAAACUCGAAGCACCCUACAUCCCUUUAUUAGACAAGGAAAGGAGGUGUUCAACUCCUAAACAAAAACACCUAAGUUAUCCUAAUCUAACAGGAAAACAAAUAGAUAAAGACUCUCCAAGAGUGAGAUUAACUCGAGAGUUUCGUUCAACGUCACAUGGACAUCAUGUCCAUAAUGAGCUCAAUGGGCUUGGGCUUGGGCUUGGAUAAGGGAACUUGGACUCAUCAAGUGUGGUGCUUGGACUCAUCCAGAUGGGCUGGACCAACAAUCUCCACCUUCCAAGCCCACUAGAGGGUAAUCUGACGUUUUCAAGUUAUCCUUCCUGACAGCUUCUGAUCCCGCUCCCCAUAAAUCUGCAAGAUCGCAUCCGAGAUACCUAGUCUCAUCAAUGGGCUACUCCACUUCCCACCGAAGUGUAUGCACCUCCACACUAAGUGCCUGCCCUUCUCACCGACGCCUUGUAACACCCACCGGGUGCCUCUCUAACCGGUGUGCGGGCGCGUGUGUCCUCCCCGUGCGCGUGACAAGCAGGCGUGGACCUCCCUAUGCGCUGGCUGAGACUGAAUUCCUCCGCCGAUGUUCAAACGGCCGCGUGAGGGUACGUCCGGACUUCCGUUCUGACGGCUAAUUGGUGCUGGAGCUCCGAUAUUCACAAGAGGAAAAACCUAUGUAAUCAAAAUUAAUUUAAGAGCACUUUCACGGACACCCGAAUUUUGACGCUGGGCUCCGAAUCGCCUCCAUGUAACUCUGAUACAAUUGUGUGCUCAAAACUAGAUAUUAUCAAUCACACACAUAGCACAAAAGACAACAAAGAUUUACGUGGUUUCGGCCACCGAUACCUACGUCCACGGAGAAGAAAUCACACAAUCCACUAUUAAACGAAUGAUUACAAUGGAGGAGAUCGAUCGCCACUCACACCACCCUCUCUCACAAUCUCUCUCUUCUUGCCUCUUAAUCUACCCGCAACAAACAAUCUGCUCUCAGCCCUCAGCAAACCACAUAGAAAAUAAAUCUAAGCACCCUAACCAUCCCUUUAUACACCAAGGAAUGAGGUGUUCAACUCCUAACAAAACCCUAAUUGUUACCUAUCUAACUAGGAAAACAAAUAGACAUAGACUCUCCAAAGUUUCUAGAUAACUCGAGAGUUUUCAUCACCGUCACAUAGACAAUCCAUAUGACUCCAUCAGGGCUUGGGCUUGGCUACUGACUUGGACUUGGAUUCAUCCAAGUGGGCUUGGACUCAUCCAGAUGGGCUGGACUCAACAGUUUGGCAAAUCCAUUAUAACUAUAGCAAUUAUAGUACAAGUUCACCGGCAAUAAAGGUCAAACCUAAAACCUUUUUUUCAGUUAGAAGGAAAGAAAUGGGUUAGGGUGUCUGAUCUUAUUGAAGGUGCGCAUAAUAUCUUUAGAAUGGGUUGGGAUGAUCCAGUUGAUUUCUUUUUAGGCCUUCGGUAAGACUAAUUGAAAUUAAUGCUUCUUUAAGUGUUGGUUGAUCUUCCCUCACUACUUUUUUUUGUGAUUUUUUUCUUUACUAACUGCUUUAUCGUAUGACUGAAUCUCUUUCCUAUCUUUCAUUGUCUUAGCGGUUAUUUUCUUAAUAGUCUAUGGUAAGACCAAUUAUCUCUCAAUUUCUCCCUCUUCACUAUCAAUUAAUGAAAAUUAUAUAGGAAGGAAAUGAGGAACUAAAUAUAAUGCGUUAUGGGUAAAGAAAAAUAUGAAUUUUGACCACAAUAUUCGCUCCCAUCAUAAUAGUUUGUCCAUCUUUUCAACUUGAAAUAUCCCAAGAUAUAUGUUCCCUUCGAAAAAUCAAAGCAUAAAACUUGUUAGUAUUUCUAAACUAUGCCUUACAAGUGGUUGUGGAGAUAUAGGGGAAAUUCUUGGAAGUCACUACUUUUUGAUUUGUUUUUGAAAAUGCAUGUUCUUGCAAAAGGUUGUAACUCUGUAAAGGGACAAAUAAAUUGAGUUGGAGGGAGUAUCUUGCAAAUUUGGUGAUAGCGUCUAGGCAAAUUUUUUCCUCUUCUUAUUGGUUAAUCUUGUGAUUUUUUUCAUAUGACAGGGUUGGGGGUGAUGCUUGUAAUUACGACUUAUAUGAAAAACCAUGUGUGUGUGGGGUUUUUUUUUUAAUCUAUAAGUUUAGAAGAAGAAAUUAUCCAUGUUUGAUAGCCAUCGAAGGUUUCCUACGAAAAGCCAGAAUAACUCAUGCCAAUUAGCUACUCUUAUCAGACAAAGAAAAUGACCAAAGGUUUCAAGGGACAAGUUGCAAAGGAGGUACGGUUUGGUAUAUAAAGGAAAGAUUAGAAGUGGCCGUCUUGUAGCGAUAAGGUAUUGGGCAAGCCCAAAGCCCAAUGGGCAAGAAUUCAUCAAUGAUGAAGUGCACCAUAGGACGGAUUCAUCACACUAAUGUGGUUCACAAAAACUAGUUGGAUAUUGUGCUGAGCGAUCUAAGGUGCUCUUGUUUACGACUUCAGCCUAAUGGGUCUCUUUGAAAAAGUACAUCUUUCUCAAGCAGGAAACUAUCUCCUUGCGUGCGAGCAAAUUAUGAGAUCUCUCUUGGAGUGGCUGCGGGAUUGAAUAUUUGCACGGGGUUGUGUGUGACAUUGCAGAGAUCCUGCAUUUUGAUAAUCAAGCCUCCACAACAUUCUACUUGACGAGGAUUUUCACUCCUAAAGUUUCUGACUUUGGGCUUGCAAAAUGUAUCCAAAAACGGGAGGAUAGCAUCGUGUCGCUAACUGCAGCAAGAGGAACAAGGGUAUAUGGCUCCAAAAUUGUUUUACAAAAACAUUGGAGGGGUUUCGUUACAAAGCUUGAUGUGAUAGUUUUGGAAUGUUGUGAUUGGAAAUGGUAGGAGGCGGAGGACCAUUUUAAAUGACCUUGAUGAUCAUACAAGCCAAAUUACUUCCCUUCGUGGAUUUACGACCAAUCAAUGAGGGAGAGGGCCAUAGAAAAUGGGAGAGACCAGAAGAGGAAAGGGUGAUGGGC
rnacentral:lncRNA from 1 species